rnacentral:rRNA from 1 species
UACGGAGGGAGCUAGCGUUAUUCGGAAUUAUUGGGCGUAAAGAGCUCGUAGGCGGUUUGUCGCGUCUGCCGUGAAAGUCCGGGGCUUAACCCCGGAUCUGCGGUGGGUACGGGCAGACUAGAGUGCAGUAGGGGAGACUGGAAUUCCUGGUGUAGCGGUGAAAUGCGCAGAUAUCAGGAGGAACACCGAUGGCGAAGGCAGGUCUCUGGGCUGUAACUGACGCUGAGGAGCGAAAGCAUGGGGAGCAAACAGG